GACGAACGCUGGCGGUGUGCUUCACACAUGCAAGUCGAACGAGGUAGCAAUACCUAGUGGCGGACGGGUGAGUAACGCGUGGGAAUCUGCCUUUGGAUGGGGGGAUAACGGGUCGAAAGACUCGCUAAUACCGCAUAUGACGAAAGUUGAAAGGAGUAAUCCGUCUAAAGAUGAGCCCGCGUCCGAUUAGCUAGUUGGUAGAGUAAAAGCCUACCAAGGCGACGAUCGGUAGCUGGUCUGAGAGGAUGAUCAGCCACACUGGGACUGAGACACGGCCCAGACUCCUACGGGAGGCAGCAGUGGGGAAUUUUGGACAAUGGGCGAAAGCCUGAUCCAGCCAUUCCGCGUGCAGGAUGAAGGCCCUCGGGUUGUAAACUGCUUUUGUACAGAACGAAAAAGCUCUUUCUAAUACAGAGAGUCCAUGACGGUACUGUAAGAAUAAGCACCGGCUAACUACGUG
rnacentral:rRNA from 1 species